AGUGAGGAAAAGAAACCAACAGGGAUUGCCUCAGUAACGGCGAGUGAAGCGGCAAAAGCUCAAAUUUGAAAUCUAGCACCUUCGGUGUUCGAGUUGUAAUUUGAAGAUGGUAACCUUGGGUUUGGCUCUUGUCUAUGUUCCUUGGAACAGGACGUCAUAGAGGGUGAGAAUCCCGUCUGAUGAGAUGCCCAUUCCUAUGUAAGGUGCUAUCGAAGAGUCGAGUUGUUUGGGAAUGCAGCUCUAAGUGGGUGGUAAAUUCCAUCUAAAGCUAAAUAUUGGCGAGAGACCGAUAGCGAACAAGUACAGUGAUGGAAAGAUGAAAAGAACUUUGAAAAGAGAGUGAAAAAGUACGUGAAAUUGUUGAAAGGGAAGGGCAUUAGAUCAGACUUGGUGUUUUACGAUUAUCUUCUCUUCUUGAGUUGUGCACUCGUAUUUCACUGGGCCAGCAUCGAUUCGGAUGGCAAGAUAAUGGCAGUUGAAUGUGGCUUCACUUCGGUGGAGUGUUAUAGCUUCUGCUGAUAUUGCCUGUCUGGAUCGAGGGCUGCGUCUUUGACUAGGAUGCUGCCAAAA
rnacentral:rRNA from 1 species